rnacentral:tRNA from 1 species
GGCCGGGUAGCUCAGUUGGUAGUAGCGUUCGCCUGAAAAGUGAAAGGUCACCGGUUCGACCCCGGUCCCGGCCACCUUGC